UACGUAGGGAGCAAGCGUUAUCCGGAUUUACUGGGUGUAAAGGGCGCGUAGGCGGGAAUGCAAGUCAGAUGUGAAAUCUGGGGGCUCAACCCCCAAACUGCAUUUGAAACUGUGUUUCUUGAGUGAUGGAGAGGCAAGUGGAAUUCCUAGUGUAGCGGUGAAAUGCGUAGAUAUUAGGAGGAACACCAGUGGCGAAGGCGACUUGCUGGACAUUAACUGACGCUGAGGCGCGAAAGCGUGGGGAGCAAACAGG
rnacentral:rRNA from 1 species